rnacentral:rRNA from 1 species
UGGGGAAUAUUGCACAAUGGAGGGAACUCUGAUGCAGCGACGCCGCGUGAGUGAUGAAGGAAUUCGUUUCGUAAAACUCUGUUCUAUGGGAAGAAAAGGACUGUACCAUAGGAGAAAGCUCCGGCUAAAUACGUGCCAGCAGCCGCGGUAAUACGUAUGGAGCGAGCGUUGUCCGGAAUUAUUGGGCGUAAAGGGUUCGCAGGCGGAAAUGCAAGUCAGUUGUGAAAGGCAGAGGCUCAACCUCUGUAAGCAAUUGAAACUGUAUUUCUUGAGAUGUGGAGAGGCAAGUGGAAUUCCUAGUGUAGCGGUGAAAUGCGUAGAUAUUAGGAAGAAUACCGGUGGCGAAGGCGACUUGCUGGACACAAACUGACGCUGAGGAACGAAAGCGUGGGUAGCAAACAGG